UGGGGAAUCGUCUAAUGGUAGGACCCCGGACUCUGACUCCGUUUAUCUAGGUUCGAAUCCUAGUUCCCCAGCCA
rnacentral:tRNA from 1 species